UACAGAGGUCUCAAGCGUUGUUCGGAUUCAUUGGGCGUAAAGGGUGCGUAGGCGGCGCGGUAAGUCGGGUGUGAAAUCUCGGGGCUUAACUCCGAAACUGCAUUCGAUACUACCGUGCUUGAGGACUGGAGAGGAGACUGGAAUUUACGGUGUAGCGGUGAAAUGCGUAGAGAUCAUGAGGAAGACCAGUGGCGAAGGCGGGUCUCUGGACAGUUCCUGACACUGAGGCACGAAGGCCAGGGGAGCAAACGGG
rnacentral:rRNA from 1 species